rnacentral:misc_RNA from 1 species
GAAGUUCCGGCCGAAACCCAUAAGGCCUAGGGACGUACACCUCUGACCCGCACGUCCCUCCCCUUCCGGGGAGGCGCGUGUAGAAGUUACGGUUCAACGUGUUCACUUCUCACCCUCUGUGAAACUUUCUUCUUUGCUUCGGCAGCACCGAGUGGGAAACCGCGAGGGUAAGGCUGUCCGAAGCCCACCAUAAAACCAGUUGAUGAAAUGUCAUGCUGUCUGAUAUCAUAUUUUAUUUGAGAAAUCAAGUAAUGUCAUUA